CACACCGCCCGUCACACCAUGGGAGUUUGUUGCACCAGAGGCAGGUAGCUUAACCUUCGGGAGGGCGCUUGCCACGGUGUGGCCGAUGACUGGGGUG
rnacentral:rRNA from 1 species